UACGGGGGGGGCAAGCGUUGUUCGGAAUUACUGGGCGUAAAGGGCUCGUAGGUGGCCAACUAAGUCAGACGUGAAAUCCCUCGGCUUAACCGGGGAACUGCGUCUGAUACUGGAUGGCUUGAGUUCGGGAGAGGGAUGCGGAAUUCCAGGUGUAGCGGUGAAAUGCGUAGAUAUCUGGAGGAACAUCGGUGGCGAAGGCGACAUCCUGGACCGGUAUUGACGCUGAGGCGCGAAAGCCAGGGGAGCAAACGGG
rnacentral:rRNA from 1 species